rnacentral:rRNA from 1 species
CCUACGGGGGGCAGCAGUGGGGGAUAUUGCACAAUGGGGGGAACCCUGAUGCAGCGACGCCGCGUGGGUGAAGGAGCGUUUCGGCGCGUAAAGCCCUAUCGGCAGGGAAGAAGAUGACGGUACCUGGCCAAGAAGCCCCGGCUAACUACGUGCCAGCAGCCGCGGUAAUACGUAGGGGGCAAGCGUUAUCCGGAUUUACUGGGUGUAAAGGGGGCGCAGACGGCAAUGCAAGCCAGGAGUGAAAGCCCGGGGCCCAACCCCGGGACUGCUCUUGGAACUGCAUGGCUGGAGUACAGGAGGGGGAGGCGGAAUUCCUGGUGUAGCGGUGAAAUGCGUAGAUAUUAGGAGGAACACCGGUGGCGAAGGCGGCCUGCUGGACUGUGACUGACGUUGAGGCCCGAAGGCGUGGGGAGCAAACAGGAUUAGAUACCCGGGUAGUC